AAUCAUUCCAAGGCAAUAAAGAGAGACGAAGAGAAACAUCACCAUCUGCAAGAAUACCACAGCCAACCACCCUGCUUUAAACUAACGAAGUUUUCUUUGAUUUAAAACAGGGGCAAAAACAAUAUUUGUGUCAGGAAAUACCUGGCAAAGAAGAAGUCAGGCGUCCACCUGGAGAAUGAGGAUAAAGAAAUUGAAGAAGUUAGGCGUCCACCUGGAGAAUGAGGAUGAAGUUAAAAAGAAGUCAGGCGUCCACCUGGAGAAUGAGGACAGAGAAUUAAAGAAGUCAGGCGUCCACCUGGAAAAUGAGGAUAAAGAAAUUGAAGAAGUCAGGCGUC
rnacentral:lncRNA from 1 species